GACGAACGCUGGCGGCGUGCUUAACACAUGCAAGUCGAACGGAAAGGCCCUGCUUUUGUGGGGUGCUCGAGUGGCGAACGGGUGAGUAACACGUGAGUAACCUGCCCUUGACUUUGGGAUAACUUCAGGAAACUGGGGCUAAUACCGGAUAGGAGCUCCUGCUGCAUGGUGGGGGUUGGAAAGUUUCGGCGGUUGGGGAUGGACUCGCGGCUUAUCAGCUUGUUGGUGGGGUAGUGGCUUACCAAGGCUUUGACGGGUAGCCGGCCUGAGAGGGUGACCGGCCACAUUGGGACUGAGAUACGGCCCAGACUCCUACGGGAGGCAGCAGUGGGGAAUAUUGCACAAUGGGCGGAAGCCUGAUGCAGCAACGCCGCGUGCGGGACGACGGCC
rnacentral:rRNA from 1 species